rnacentral:lncRNA from 1 species
GGGGCUCUUGGUCUCCCUUGUUUCCAAUGAGGAGAUCCUCCCCCCCAGCCGACCACCACUCAGGCUGGUGGGGCAGUCCCUGACGAUGUCGAGCGGUCGGGUCUGAUGACCGACGGUAGCUCACGACGAUGGAAAUCAAAGACGGAAGACAAAAUAGAGAAUUUGAAAAAACACUAAUGAUUUUCAAGGGAUUUUCAACAGAAAACUCAAAAAAAAAUUAAGAUUAAAAGCAGG